rnacentral:rRNA from 1 species
UACGAAGGGGGCUAGCGUUGCUCGGAAUGACUGGGCGUAAAGGGCGCGUAGGCGGUGCAUUGGGUCAGGCGUGAAAUUCCUGGGCUUAACCUGGGGACUGCGCUUGAGACGGGUGUGCUGGAGGGCAGGAGAGGCUCGCGGAAUUCCCAGUGUAGAGGUGAAAUUCGUAGAUAUUGGGAAGAACACCGGUGGCGAAGGCGGCGAGCUGGCCUGUACCUGACGCUGAGGCGCGACAGCGUGGGGAGCAAACAGG